AACGAACGCUGGCGGCAUGCCUAACACAUGCAAGUCGAACGAAGGCUUCGGCCUUAGUGGCGCACGGGUGCGUAACGCGUGGGAACCUGCCCCUCGGUUCGGAAUAACAGUUAGAAAUGACUGCUAAUACCGGAUGAUGACUUCGGUCCAAAGAUUUAUCGCCGAGGGAUGGGCCCGCGUAGGAUUAGCUAGUUGGUGGGGUAAAGGCCUACCAAGGCGACGAUCCUUAGCUGGUCUGAGAGGAUGAUCAGCCACACUGGGACUGAGACACGGCCCAGACUCCUACGGGAGGCAGCAGUGGGGAAUAUUGGACAAUGGGCGAAAGCCUGAUCCAGCGAUGCCGCGUGAGUGAUGAAGGCCUUAGGGUUGUAAAGCUCUUUUACCAGGGAUGAUAAUGACAGUACCUGGAGAAUAAGCU
rnacentral:rRNA from 1 species